GCGGCAAAGAGCUCCUUUUCUCCCGCCUCUCAGCUGAUCGGCGGGUGGGCGGGGCUUCCACGGAGGCCUCCGUGUAGGCCGCAGUGAAGCCUGAGCUCGAGUAGGGCCCAAGCAAGCCAGGAAGGAGGAGGCAGCCAGAGUGUUCUCUGCAGCAGAAGAUCCCUUGCUGCACUGCUUAACCCAGACCAGCAUUUGCCAGGAGAAGAGUCAAACUUGGAAAAUUAAUUUCAAGGUACAAACUUUCAAACAGGAAGGCAAGAAGAAAGAGUAACUAUUACAAUAGAACUAAAUUCUUAACAGGGGUAUAGCUAUAAUUGAACGAAAGGGUUCAAAGAACAUGAGACCCCAGCUCAUGAGGGCCCUCCAGAUCCAUCCCUCCCUAUUUUCUUCAUUGUCUCCCUCACUCUGGGGGGCCACCCAAAAGAGGGAUGAACACGGGCCCCCUCUCCCCUAGCUACGCCCCUGAUUCUUAAUUAAGGGUUCUUUCAGUACAACAUUUUACCUUUGGCAUGACCCUAUUUUGCUCAGAAGCAUAAAUAUGGAGAACUUUAUAUCAGCUAGUCAUUCACAGGGAUAUUUGAGAAAACAAACAUGGACAGCAGCCAACAGCAAUCUAGUGUCCUGUUAAUGGAUCUUCCCUGAAAAAUCUACGCGGAUGGCUGAUUUGACAAGUUCAAGAAGCAUUACUUUGGAUGAAAGUGUUACAGCAGAACUGGCCUCCCUGUGAACUUUAGCAGUAACUGCCCACAGCUAUACUGGGGGUGCAGGUGGUGAUUUCAAAGCAGAGGUCCCAGCUCUCCAACAUCCCAGAAGACACUCAGCCUGGCUUUAUUGGAAGCAAGUAGAGGAGGAGGGAUGUGUGGGGUUUGGGAUCUGUGGGGAGGAAGGGAGGGGAAAGCCAAGAUUUCUCCCUGCCUGUUUCUCUCCCCACAGCGAGGCAGCAGAGGAAGCAAGCAUGCGUGUGGGGCAAAGAACUGUCCAUACUGCAACACACUACAAUGCAUAAAAUGUGGACAAGGCUACCUACAAUGGAAAAAUACAGCUACUUUCCUGCAGAGCAUUUACAAUGUUUUAGGGCAAAAAUGCAUAAUUAAAAUUCGAAUCAAGGCAUGGGAAAUAUGAAUGGCAUCCUGCUGACAACGUAGCAUCCCCAAUGUGGAAACACAGGCAAUACAGAGGGGCAUUUAGAGGAUACAUUGUGAGUACGUUGCAGCAUGUAAUCUGGAAAACGCCCUGGAGUCUCUCUUUAACAAUCAUUCAAGACUUGCCUAUCACUUUCUCCAAGCCAGAAAGGGCUCUCCUCAGCAGUAAGUGCUUUCUUUUGCUCAUGGAUCCACAUCUUUAUAGAACAUCAAAUUUGUUAAUGUAAAGUAGCAGCUGAAGGUACUGGAGAUGAAUACGCCUUCCAGGAUUCUCAUGAUCCCAGAGAACAAGGUGUUGUGAAAAAUCAUUGCAUUUCACUUUGAGCCAACAUCUGAAAAUAUUUUCUUUCCAAACAAAUAAAUGGAUGAAGUGGAUAAUUUU